AUUUCAUUCGUCUUGAAAUUGGGAUUUUCGUGUAGUGUAGUAUAUAAUGUCUCACUCAACCACUUAGCUUUCAUCAUUUUAAUGUUGAAUUGCCUACUGCAAGUAUGCGUAUCCAAUAUUUUUCUCAAUUGUCAUAUUCUACAUCCUUCCAAAUACCCACAAUAAGUCAUCCAUGGACAACUCUUUUGGGCACCCAAGCAUCUCACUCGUACCCUUUUGUUGCCAUUCUUAACAAACUUCAAAUUUAUCCCCGUAUGGAGUGUAUAACUUCUAACAGUCUCCAUAAACUCAUUUUUAUGCCUAAACUUUGUUCAUACUUCCCACUUGUAUUCUGACAUACAUUUUUGCUUAACAAAUGUCCCAAAUGGACUAAAAUUUUGCCUUUCAUCACCUGCAUCCUCACUUCCACUUUCUUCUGGACUGUCCAAAUAUUUUGAGUCUCACUCAUCAUCAGACAACCCCCUGUCAUUUGGGUUUCUCUGCCUAUGUGCACUAUCAUCAUCUAUUUCUAAAUCACAGUUUAGUUCAUUUUCAUUAACUUCUACUGACACAAACCCUAAUCUACUACUUCAUUAAUAUUUACAUCAACAUCAACUAGUUCUUCAUUAACUACUCCAUCACGAACUUCACCAUGCACCAUCCCUACAUCAUCAUCCUCACUUGAAGUAAAAUCUUCAAUGACUACUUCUUCCUCCCCCUGCCUGUGUUGUUCAUCCAUGUCCUCUAGCUCUACUUCCUCCUCCCCUGCACCUCCACUUCAUCUAUGUCCCCCACUUGUACUUCCUCCUCCACUUCAUCAUCUUCCCCUUGCACACCCACUUCAGCCAAAGCCUGCACCUACACUUCAUCAUCCAAACCCUGUACCUCCAUUUCAUCAUCCUCCCCCUGUACAUCCACUUCAUCCAAAGCCUGCA
rnacentral:lncRNA from 1 species